rnacentral:tRNA from 1 species
GGGGUUAUAGUUUAAAGAAGAACAUUUGCUUGUCGAGCAAUUAGUCCGGGUUCGAGUCCCGGUAACCUCG